rnacentral:rRNA from 1 species
UACGAAGGGGGCUAGCGUUGCUCGGAAUCACUGGGCGUAAAGGGUGCGUAGGCGGGUCUUUAAGUCAGGGGUGAAAACCUGGAGCUCAACUCCAGAACUGCCUUUGAUACUGAAGAUCUUGAGUCCGGGAGAGGUGAGUGGAACUGCGAGUGUAGAGGUGAAAUUCGUAGAUAUUCGCAAGAACACCAGUGGCGAAGGCGGCUCACUGGCCCGGUACUGACGCUGAGGCACGAAAGCGUGGGGAGCAAACAGG